CCUACGGGUGGCAGCAGUGAGGAAUAUUGGUCAAUGGACGAGAGUCUGAACCAGCCAAGUAGCGUGAAGGAUGACUGCCCUAUGGGUUGUAAACUUCUUUUAUAUGGGAAUAAAAUGUUCCACGUGUGGGAUUUUGUAUGUACCAUAUGAAUAAGGAUCGGCUAACUCCGUGCCAGCAGCCGCGGUAAUACGGAGGAUCCGAGCGUUAUCCGGAUUUAUUGGGUUUAAAGGGAGCGUAGGUGGAUUGUUAAGUCAGUUGUGAAAGUUUGCGGCUCAACCGUAAAAUUGCAGUUGAAACUGGCAGUCUUGAGUACAGUAGAGGUGGGCGGAAUUCGUGGUGUAGCGGUGAAAUGCUUAGAUAUCACGAAGAACUCCGAUUGCGAAGGCAGUUCACUGGACUGCAACCGACACUGAGGCUCGAAAGUGUGGGUAUCAAACAGGAUUAGAUACCCUUGUAGUC
rnacentral:rRNA from 1 species